GGCAAAAUGGGCCUAUUGCAAAAAGAGGCUCGGAGGUUUGAUGGCAGACAAUGAUGGAUUCCCCACGCAAUGGGGCUCCGUUCUCAAACAGCCAUUAUCAUUCCAGAUCCUGCUGACUGCAGGGCUCAUUUGGACAAAUGGAGAAGGCUUUUGAUAUUUGAGGGAAGCUGUGCAUAAGAAUGAUGGCUAAAACACAGCCUCUUUGUCCGGUGCUCUCAUUCUCACCCACACUCUGCUCUCUCUCAUCCCUCAUCCUGCUUCCGUUUCCUCAUUUUCCUCUCGUUUCACCUCCUCCGCCUGCCUCUCUCCUUCUCAUGUCCUUGUCCCCCGUGUGCCACUUCCUCCCCCCCACCAGUCUCAGAGAGCCCUGCCCCCACACAGUGUCUCUCUCAAAUUAACGUGGAGAUAUUGACAAGUGAUGGGCCUGGGAGGCAUAGAUCAUCAGGAGGGAGAAGAGGAAUGAGGCCGAGCCGAGCUGGACGGAGGGGUUUCCCCGUCAUUACCCAGCAGCUCAGUUUUCUAUCAGAUGUUCUAAAGUGAAGCGCUCAUCCAUACAAUUGCAAAAGUCCUGUAUCAGUUGAUUUGCAUCCACUGUCUCCAGCUCUGUGAGAGAAUUAGCGUUGGAGGCCUGAUCGGGGAUAAGUGAUGUUUUUUCAGGUUUACAGACACAAACACACCUUUCGAAAGAUUUCCAGGCGCCUGAAUACAACAGCAGCACUCACGCUACACGCUGCUCUGUGUAAAGUGAAUAAAGUGCUGCUAACAAUGUGCAAAGGGCCGGCUGGUCAAUAUGCCAAUUACAUAGAUGAGGGUACGGAAAGGGCAAAUGAUAGCCAAUCAGUGAAGUGCUUUUACCGUCUUCUAGCAGCAGCUGACCCUCUGACCUCACAUGAUGACCCUCAGGCCAAAGGCCACCUCUCCAGGGGUCAGAGGGCAUCUAUGUGCACUGGCCGGAGGAGGCGUCGUCAUGGCAACAGCACUGGCGAAAGAAUGGCAAGGUGUGGCGUUCAGGCAAAGAGGGACCACCGCUGCUGUACUAAGCAGUGAUGUUAUGAAGCUAGUUUAAGCCGUGUUGUUUCACUAAACCUUUUUGAUCCAGUGCUGAAAUGUAACUAAGUAGAUUUACUCAACUACUUCAAUUAAGUACACUUUUGUGUUCUUUUCUUGAGUCUUUCCAAAUAAUUCUGUUCUGCUAUCCGAGAAAAAAUAUUAACUUUUUUUAAAAAUCAACAAUAUUCGUCUGAGAGCUUGCUGAAUGCAUUUAGAUUUUAAAAAUUAAACUUUUAAAAACCUCAAUUAAAAAAAUAAACCAGUGGUUCACAAUCUUUUAACUUGUGUCCUCUUACAAUAAUGCAUUGUCUGCUUUAGGCCAUGUGACAUAUUUCUGAUGUCUUUGAGUUUGUCCAACAAAGAGACAUUUAUCACUGAAUCUUCUUUUUCUCAAACUUCUCAUUGUAUUUCACAUUAAAAGCCAGGAUUCAGUCAGAAAAAAGGUCAAAAAAU
ensembl:lncRNA